CACAAUAUGCUAAUUUUUUUAGAAGGACCUGUAUGUGUAGAAAGUUUUGUAUCAUAACGUAGCUUAGCUACAUGAAUUUGGCUGGUAUGUUGCAUUUUGCGGAUGAAUUAAUAUUGAAUAUAUAUAUUUCUUGUAUUAACUAAACAUAGUUUUGUAAAUUUUGAGAUGUGUGUAGUAUUGAUAUCAAAAUUGGGUUUUGUGGGGACUUGCAACUGGAAAGUCGCCAUUUUGUAAUCACAGUCUUUGACUAUGGGACCACAAGAAAGAAGUGUUAGAUGGCAUUGGAGAACAUUACAGAAUUUCAACAGACUGUCACGUAAAGUUGAUAUUAAACUAAAUAUUUCAAAAUAAUUUUCUAUAAAACCCCUUUCUUUUGUUGUUUUGUGUUGCUUGAUCCGUUCCAAAAAAGUUACAUGAAAAAUGUUUGAGUUGGGCGUGUUCAUAAGACCAUUGCUUGACUUGUGUCAAACAAUGUAAGAAGGUGUUAAAUUUGUUUUCUCUUAACUUCUCUUUCGCAAUAUAUGUCAAAAGCUGUGUCCUGGACUGUGGACACAGUUUACCACUGAGGACAUUAAGGAUGUUCCCAGACAAGGACUGUCCCAUAACUGUGGCAUUUUCACAUUGAUGGCUGACAUGCCAACCAUUAGGCUAUGGUGGUCUGUUCUCCUGCUUGAGAACUUUCCUGCAAGGUCCACGAUUGAGAGACAGUGUUCCAAGAAAAGACUGAAGGCAGCUCAUCACCAAAGCGGGCAGACAGAAAACAACAGGGAAGAAGAGCUACCAGUGGACAUAUUGUAUGAAAUACUUCUUGUUGUGCUGGAGAAAGGAGACGCAGCGAUGGGAAAAUUAUCACUGAAAUGCAAGCGGUUUCUGGACGUUGUGUCUCAGACAUCAUUCUACAACAAGGCACAUUUCCUGUGGUUGGACAGUACGUAAUCGGAAGGUUUAGCAUUAUUUUUCACAUGUUGCUCCUGCACUAACAACAUGUAAUGUAUGGAUUAUAGCAUGUCUGUGUUAUUCUGGCAUCACACAGUAGUUUGAACUAACAUUAAAGACACAGUGCUUCUAUGCAAAUAGAAAAGAUAACCUUUUUUGGAUUUGUUUCCAUAUUAGGACCCUAACAAAUGUCAUCUUCGUUGUCCUAUAAUGUUAGGUUUGUCUUCAUCAAGACUUUUCAUUGAAUUUUAAUAACUUCAGAGGUUUUGCAGACAUAAUAAAACAAUAAAUGAGUCAUUGGCCUUAGCUGCACAACAUUAAAAAGUGAAAAUGUUUUAUAUGGAUCCACAAAUUACUUUAUUUAUAGUUACAUUUUUAGUUACAUAGUUACAUUUUAAUCAUCAGGCGUUAAUUGAAAUCUUCUGUCACCAAGGACCUUUGCACUGCAUGUUGAAUACAUUGAGAAAGGGAAAGGCCUUGUCCUUAUGCAAGUGCUACUUUGUAAAAUGUUGUUUGGUGAUUUUAAUCAUUUCUUUUUACAAUUGAAGGUGUCGUUUACGGGAAGAAAUUCUCUAAAUCAUUUCAGGCUGAGUACCGGAAGCCGUACCUCAUAUCAACCUGUUUAAGUUGUGGAAGCACAUUUAAAGAUCGUGGUGCAGGUUACUGGGGCAAUGGGAAACGAGGACAGCUGAGAGGCUUUUAUUCUGAACCCAGUACUCCAGGAUACUGCAGACAUUUCUGCGCCUUGGAUGCAGGAUGCUAUGAAGACUUUUAAGAUAUUUGCGACAGAAUGUCUUCAAAAGAUAAAUACUUCAGAACUACACCACCACCAAGUGAUGCCUAAACAGGUUUUAUGUAAAAUAAAGAACAUCUUUAUCCUCA